rnacentral:miRNA from 1 species
GCACAGGGCAUACAAUGUGGAU